GCGCCUGUAGCUCAGUCGGUAGAGCAGCGGCCUUUUAAGCCGUUGGUCGUGGGUUCGAGUCCCACCGGGCGCACCA
rnacentral:tRNA from 2 species